GACGAACGCUGGCGGCGUGCCUAAUACAUGCAAGUAGAACGCACAGUUUAUACCGUAGCUUGCUACACCAUAAACUGUGAGUUGCGAACGGGUGAGUAACGCGUAGGUAACCUGCCUGGUAGCGGGGGAUAACUAUUGGAAACGAUAGCUAAUACCGCAUAAUAUUGAUUAUUGCAUGAUAAUUGAUUGAAAGAUGCUAUUGCAUCACUACCAGAUGGACCUGCGUUGUAUUAGCUAGUAGGUGAGGUAACGGCUCACCUAGGCGACGAUACAUAGCCGACCUGAGAGGGUGAUCGGCCACACUGGGACUGAGACACGGCCCAGACUCCUACGGGAGGCAGCAGUAGGGAAUCUUCGGCAAUGGACGAAAGUCUGAACGAGCAACGCCGCGUGAGUGAAGAAGGGUUUCGGAUCGUAAAGCUCUGUUGUAAGAGAAGAACGGGUGUGAGAGUGGAAAGUUCACACUGUGACGGUAUCUUACCAGAAAGGGACGGCUAACUACGUG
rnacentral:rRNA from 1 species